CCAGGUGCGCGUCGAGAGCAAAGUCUGGAGGAGACACUUGCAAAGCUAAGCAUGGGAUACAGACAUGAAUACAACUGCUGUGUUUCCUUGAAUACUACCCUGCAAAGAACUGGAUCUUUAGAACCAAGAAGUGAGCCUGGAGGCAUUGUCAUGCCAUCGCCUUUCGUCUACUGAAACUCACAUUUCAGCACAUAAAAUUAUCAUGCAUCUAGCAUCUCACCCAGACACUGAAAAAUGAUGAAUCCACAGAACCCUGACACUGGAAAGGAAGCGUAAGCAGCAGCCAGAACCUGAGAGGAAACAUCAUUAAGUGAAGAUCUCAUGGAGCUCAGCUGAAAAUCCCUGUCGGGAGCAGUCACAGCUUUGCCCCCUGGCAGGGAAGAUCUUGCUGGUGACUGAGAGAAGCCUCUGCCUACUCCCUGGUUCAAGAAUUCAAGACGGUUGCCAGCUAGAGCACAGGACAGGUAUUCUCCUCCUCUGAAGGUUAAAAAUAAAAGGGUAAACAAUACAAUGGGGGGAAGAAGGAAGAAAGAAGAAUGAAAGACAGGAAGAAGAAAAUGGUAGUAACAUUAGUGCCAUUCAAAGCAAAAAAAAUUGUCAGAAAAAUGAGGGUCAUUUCAUAUUGAUAAAGAUAUAAUCUCCAAUGAGGAUGUAAAAUUCAUGAGCCUUUAUAAAGAAAGAUAGGCUUAAAAUAGAAAAGGAAAGAAGUGUCUGGAAAAUCAAGGAGAAACUGACAGAAAUAUGAUUGUUAUAAGAGGCAUUAACAUGUCUUUCUCAAGAUUUGAUGGAGACUGAAAAAUAGAUUCAAUCAAUAGGUGGAUAUUGAACUUUUUAUCUUAUAAGCAGGGGCUACCCUAUUUCAUGCAUCCAUGGACCAUUUGCAGCAGCUGGUUAUAUAGUAUGAGGCAAAGGAAAUUUAUAAUAAAAAUGAGAAAAUGUAGAAGCCACACUGAUAGGAUCAUAGGUAACACAUACUAAGAAAAGUUCAAACAGACAAAACUCUUCAAUCUUUGUAAAACAAUUUACAAAGUAAAGUCAGAAUAUUUGUGUUUUUAAACUUAAAAUUCCAUUUGUAACCUAUAGGAGGAUAUAUUAAUUGCAAAUCUGUUUGUUACAACAAAAUUCUGUAAAAACCCAAAUGUUUGUCAAUAGGGAAUUCAGACACCCAGCUGGAGAAUUAUACAGCUCAAAAUGAAGAAUGUCUCUGUAUACUUCAAUCUUCAUUUGCUUGGCAGGAUGCAUUAUUACCUUGAAAACAGCAAGGUAGAGAGAAAUAUAUAAUAUGCUACCAUUUAUCCGAAAAAGAUUGAGAGAAUAUGAAUAUAUAUUUGCUUAUAUUUAAUUCAUAGCAACAAUACAAGAACAUAAUUUUUAGAGAAAAAAUAUGAAAAAUUGGUUACCUGUCUUUGGAACACAGUGGAGGAAACACUAACAAAAUCUACACUUUUUGGGAGUGGGGGGCCAUAUCCAAGGCAUGCAGAGGUUCUCGGGCCAGGGAUCAAACCUACACCACAGCACUUAUCUCAUCCACGGAAGCUAUAGUACUGGAUCCUUAACCUGCCAAGCCACCAGGGAACUCCCUACACUUUCUGAUUAUACCUCGUUUUGAGAAUUUGACUUUGAAACCAUGUAAAGGUCUUACAUGAUUAUGAAGUCAAAUUAAAUUUAGUAAUUCCUAAAAUCAGAAAAGCAAAAUCAAGAUUACUGUAUUGAGUUGGUAGCUUAACUACACUGAGAGGAGUUAUUUCAAGUGACUUUAUUUAUUUAUUUUUUUGUCUUUUGUCUUUUUAGGGCCACACCUGGGGCAUGUGGAGGUUCCCAGGCUAGGGGUCGAAUCAGCUACAACUGCGGACCUGUGCC